UGCCGGAUGGUGCAACUGGCAGCACGCCUGAUUCUGGAUCAGGAGACUCGGGGUUCGAAUCCUCGUCCGGCAGCCA
rnacentral:tRNA from 1 species